rnacentral:sRNA from 1 species
AGUGAAAUGUCUUCAUGCAGAGCUUGCUCAUGUCUUCACUCUAACUCGAGCUGCCUGGAAUUGAAAACGAAGAAAGAAAAUUUUAAAAAAGAACUAGUCGAUGUCCUUUUCGAGCAUGCGAGUUGCAAUCGAGAAGAAUCAUGACCGGUGGAGUGUGCAGGGGCAAGAACAGCGGGCGGCGGGCCCAGCAGUAAGCGAGACAAAAUUAGCACGGCAACUGAAUUCCAUCCGGAAUUCCGGAUGCAUCAUGAAGUGGUUAGAGCAGGUACAGAGAGGAGAUAAAAGAGAAGAGUGAAAAACAGCGGGCUAUAGAUUUAUAGCCAGCUGCAGUACGGACUCCUAGAUACAUGUGUAUAUGAUAUGUGGGACUAAGUAUAAUUGUGUAGUAUAUGUUUAUAGGUAUCUAUAGUAUGAAUUGGCUAUAAAAUUGACUAUAAAUGGUUUGAAGCUGGUAGUUAGCGAUACUAUUAAGCUUGCUCUUAUACGGAUUGCAGAGCAUGUCUAGUUUGCAGUUGUAAAAAAAAAAGCAUGUCUAGUAGGAGUACUCCGUCUUCGCUAAGAGCAAGUUUAAUAGUAUAGCUAACUACUAGCUCCAAAUCAUCUCUAGCCAAUUCAUAUAAUAGUUACUUACUAUUCUAUUAAUACCUAGUCCCAUCUGUCAUACACACAUUAUGUCUUGAAGUCCGCGCUGCAGCUGGCUACAUAUCUGUAGCCCAUUGCUCUUCUCAAACUUUCUUUAUUUUUUUUAAAAUAUAUUUAUAGUUGGCUUAUAGUCUACUAUUGAAUCUGCUCUAAUGAUUUGCUCUCUAAAGAGAAGUUUUUACAGAGUGUAGCUAAGCAUCCAAGCAACUAGUAAUAGAGUAGAGUACUUUUAUGUGGGCAACGUGGAGUACUAGCGUUGUGCGAAGAAGAGAGAAGCUGAUAUGACGAAUACCGAGGCAUCGUAUUUCGAGGGUCAAAAGCUUGAUACUCCAGAGAAAAGGUCAUAUCUGGCCCUAGAUCUAGUCCAUAUCUGAGUCAGUGCGAUGGUGAGAACUUUCUCAACUGUCAUCAACCGCCGAGGACACAGGUCUCAACUGCCGCCGAAUUUCGGUUGGAGCCCAUGAAAUUGCAGCCGAUGUCGUGCACCAAAAUGCUGUCCAAAAAGCCAGUCCAUCGAAAAUUCAAGGGCAUCAUCUUUUCACUUAUAUUUAUAUUUAUCUGUCAAAAUUUAAAUUUUUAACUUUAAAUUUGAAGCAGAUUUUGAGAUUUUUUUAUCAAAGUUUAUUUUUCAGCCUUUUCUUUUACUCCAUCUAUCCUAUAAUAUAAGUGAUUUUGAUUGGAUGUGUCACAUCCUACUACUAUACGAAUUUGUUCAUACUCUUCGUUUAGAUUCGUAGUAAUAAGAUAUUUCACAUCCACCUGACAGCGGGAGUAAUUGCUAAGAAUACGUAUAUAAAAAUUUUAUUCACAAAUUAUUUUUCGUUUGUAAAUAUAUCGUUUCGUUUAUUUCGUAGAUAAGCGAAACGAUGGCUCCGCAAAAAUCUACUCCGUAGGUUAGUAGUAGUAGUACGUAGCGUCAGCCAUGGACGGCGGCUCGCCGACGGCGCCGUCCAUCGCGCGGCGAGGCUGACGAAGCGACGAGACUUUAAAGC